CCAAAACCCCCCAAACCCCAAACCCCUAUGGCUCCACGGCCCCAAAGCCCAGCCCCCAAAGCGCGACCCCACAGCGCACCCUUGAGGCAGGGCUGCGCCCCAUCCAGACACUCAGGCGCCAGCUCGUUGUCCCCAAACGACCCCAGCAGCUCCGACACCAGCAGGUCCGCCGCCUCUGGGGGGCGCCACUCCCGCAUGUCGCGCGGCACCACGGCCACCUGCGAGCCCCACUCCUCGUACUGCCAGCUCUCCAGCCUGCGGGUUAUGGGGUCGUAGGGGGGGUUAUGGGGUCUUAUAGGGUCUUAUGGGGUCAUUACAGAAUGGGGAUGGGGUCCCUAUGGGUCCCUAUGGGGUGGCAGCACCGCCACCUGCGAGCCCCACUCCUCGUACUGCCAGCUCUCCAGCCUGCGGGUUAUGGGGUCUUAGGGGGGCUUAUGGGGUCUUAGCGGGGGUUAUGGGAUCGUAUGGGGUCUUAUGGGGUCAUCACAGGUCAUACGGAAUGGGGAUGGGGCUCUAUGGGGCUCUAUGGGUCCCUAUGGGGUCCCUAUGGGUCUCUGUCAGUCUCUGUGGCCUCCAUGGGUCUCUACAGGUCCCUAUGGGGCUCUAUGGGUCCCUAUGGGCCCCUAUGGGUCCCUGUGGGAUCUGUGGGUCCGUAUGUGUCUCUAUGGCUCCCUAUGUGUUCCUAUGUGACCCUAUGUGUCCCUAUACGUCCCUGUGUGUCCCUAUGUGUCCCUAUGUGUCCCUAUGGGUCCCUAUGUGUCCCCAUGUGUCCCUGUGUGUCCCUGUGGGAUCUGUGGGUCCGUAUGUGUCUCUAUGGGUCCCUGUGGGAUCUGUGUGUCCCUAUGGGUCCCCAUGUGUCCCCGUGUGUCCCUAUGUGUCCCUAUGGGUCCCUGUGUGUCCCUGUGGGUCUCAACGUGUCCCUAUGGGUCUCUAUGGGAUCUAUGGGUCCGUAUGUGUCUCUAUAGGUCCCCAUGUGUCCCCAUGUGUCCCUAUGUAUCCCUGUGUGUCCCUAUGGGUCCCCAUGUGUCCCCACGGGUCCCUAUGUGUCCCUAUGGGUCUCAAUGUGUCCCUGUGUCCCUAUGUGUCCCUGUGUCCCUAUGGGUCCCUGUGGGAUCUAUGGCUCUCUAUGGGUCUCAAUGUGUCUCUAUGGGUCCCUGUGUGUCCCUGUGGGUCCCUGUGGGAUCUAUGGGUCUGUAUGUGUCCCCAUGUGUCCCCAUGGGUCCCCAUGUGUCCCCAUGGGUCCCUAUGUGUCCCUAUGGGUCUCUAUGUGUCCCUGUGUGUCCCUAUGUGUCCCCAUGUGUCCCUGUGUGUCCCUGUGGGUCUCAAUGUGUCCCUAUGUGUCCCUAUGGGUCUCAAUGUGUCCCUAUGGGAUCUAUGGGUCCGUAUGUGUCUCUAUAGGUCCCCAUGUGUCCCCAUGUGUCCCUAUGUGUCCCUGUGUGUCCCUAUGUGUCCCCAUGUGUCCCUAUGUGUCUCUGUGGGAUCUGUGGGUCCGUAUGUG
rnacentral:lncRNA from 1 species